AAGCGUGCGCAGGCGGCUUUGCAAGACAGAUGUGAAAUACCCCGGGCUCAACCUGGGAACUGCAUUUGUGACUGCAAGGCUAGAGUACGGCAGAGGGGGAUGGAAUUCCGCGUGUAGCAGUGAAAUGCGUAGAUAUGCGGAGGAACACCAAUGGCGAAGGCAAUCCCCUGGGCCUGUACUGACGCUCAUGCACGAAAGCGUGGGGAGCAAACAGGAUUAGAUACCCCGGU
rnacentral:rRNA from 1 species